CUCUUUCAUUCUUUCACCACCUCUUGGUUCAGUAAAGAGGCCAUGCAAAGUGUUGUAUAAGAAGGGAACAUCUGGCACAUUACACUGCAUGUAAAGAGACAAAUGGCGGACACGUGGGCAAUGGUUGUUGCGAGUAUGGACAAGAUAAAGGACAAAGAAGCAGUUGGCGUUUGUAGAUAAGCUCUGCCUAACUCGCUGGAUUUGGUGAUAAGGUUCGUUUCUUUUGUAAAUUGGCAAGAGGGUGCCAGCACUGAGGACAGGUGUUUGCUUGUGGGGGAGCAAGCAAUCCUUUACUGUGAUGACAAUAAUUGUUGAAGCUAAUUUAUUUGGUUUUAUUCAAAACCAGGUUGAAAUUUUAAAUGUAUAAUAAUAUCAUGGAAAUUGUCAGUAUCCAACAGAACGUGUUUGAGUUGAAACAGAUUUGUUUUUUAUAAUGCUUUGUUGAGUGUGUAUUGGCUAAUGCCAAGUAGAUGUGUAAUUGAGUACUGACAAGAUUCUUAAUGUUUUCUUUUCUUUCA